rnacentral:rRNA from 1 species
UACGUAGGCAGCGAGCGUUGUUCGGAAUUACUGGGCGUAAAGAGUGUGUAGGCGGUGCCCCCAGUCUGUUGUGAAAUCUCCCGGCUUAACUGGGAGGGUGCAGCGGAAACUAGAGUGCUAGAGGGUGGGAGAGGUAAGCGGAAUUCCUGGUGUAGCGGUGAAAUGCGUAGAUAUCAGGAGGAACACCUGUGGUGUAGACAGCUUACUGGACCACUUCUGACGCUGAGACACGAAAGCGUGGGUAGCAAACAGG